CGGUAGCUGUGUCAGUGACAGAUUGACCGCCAGGUUGAACUGAUCCUUCCGCGUAACACUUGCCGAAGCCUUAGCAGCCCGAAAGGGUGCAACCCCAACGACUAUAAUCUUCGAGGGUUGCUGAAAUGCUAGUCUGCUUUACGCAGGCAACACUAUCAAAUUGCGGGAACACCCUAAAGACCUCAACACCAAGCGUUGAUGGGAAACCAUUGCGUGGCCGAGCUAAUAGCCCUGGGUAUGGUAACAGCUUGAGGUAUGAAGUCCCUGUUAUAGGGAUGGAAAUGGGCAAUCCGCAGCCAAGUCCUAAAGCCCUUAGAGGUCAUGGAUGCUGUUCACAGGCCAAAUGGUAGUGGGUGAUCCCCCAACUUGGGGGAUUGCUUAAGAUAUGGUCGGGCCCCUUUAGAAAUAUUGGGGGUAAGUUUACGCUUAACCAAACCGUUCCGUAGGUGAACCUGCGGAAGGAUCAUUAUCGAUUUCGGUUUACACCGUUUUCUACCUUUGUCUAUGCGUACCACACGUUUCCUCGGGGGGCUUGCCCCCCGUUAGGACAUUUUAUCAACCUUUUUGUAAUAGCAGUCAGCGUCUGAAAUAAUUUAAUUAUUAAAACUUUCAACAACGGAUCUCUGGGUUCUGGCAUCGAUGAAGAACGCAGCGAAAUGCGAUAAGUAGUGUGAAUUGCAGAAUUCAGUGAAUCAUCGAAUCUUUGAACGCACAUCGCGCCCCUUGGGUAUUCCAUGGGGCAUGCCUGUUCGAGCGUCAUUUGAACCCUCAAGCUGUGCUUGGUGUUGGGGUGUUUGUCCUGCCAUUGCGUGUAGACUCGCCUUAAAGUAAUUGGCAGCCUGGUAAUUCGGCUGUGAGCGCAGCACAUCGCGUACUCUUGGCUGGUGCUUUUGUCAUCCAAAGCCCUUUUUUUACUCUGGCCUCCGAUCACGUAGGGAUACCCGCUGACUAUGCUAAU
rnacentral:rRNA from 1 species